AGUCUUCAGGUUUUUGUAUGGUGAGGAGGCUCCACGAGAAAAUGACAUCACCACCGUGAUUCAGAAGAUUUCCAAUAAAUCAUCAGAUUUGAAUGGUGUUAUUAGCCAAGUAGUUCUCCUGGGUUUGAUGUGGAUGGCAUGCUGUUUGAUGCAAAGAUGGUCAGUGGAACUUCAGCUUGGCUAUAUAGAACAGAUGCUACAGACAAAUGAUGAGAGUCAGAGACAUAGCCGAGUACAAGCACAAGAUUCAACUCAUCACCAACAUCAGACUGCAACAGAGAAUUCGGGU